rnacentral:rRNA from 1 species
GACGGGGGGAGCAAGCGUUGUUCGGAUUUACUGGGCGUAAAGGGCGUCUAGGCGGGUCAGCCAGUCAGGUGUGAAACCCCACGGCUCAACCGUGGACCUGCACUUGAUACUGCUGGUCUUGAGUACGGAAGAGGGAAGCGGAAUUCCUGGUGUAGCGGUGAAAUGCGUAGAUAUCAGGAAGAACACCGGUGGCGAAGGCGGCUUUCUGGUCCGAUACUGACGCUAAAGCGCGAAAGUGUGGGGAG